GCUGAGGCUGCAGCCCUACCUUCUUGAACUGAUCACACUGACAGGAGACCCGGUGUUGCAUUUCGAACUCUCUGGAGCCUCCACUCCUGGAACAGACACCUCUAUGGUUCGCUUUCCUUCUUCUAAAACACAGAAAAACACUUGAGAGAUGAUUUUUAAAAGUGAACUGUUAAGACAAGAAAACUUCAGCUGUUUCUGUUCAUUUGGCGGCACUCCAGUCCAUAGAAUGCCAGAAUCUUCUGACAAGUAACAACAGAGCAAGAAGUGAAAAACGGUGCCCGCCUUCACCCAGCCACCCAGGACACAAGGAUCCCUGUAAGCACCAAGGCUCGAGCAUCCCAGGGACCCCGCUGACAGAGCCCUUUGGUCCCUCACAAUCCGGGCCUUAGACGGGGCUCCAUCAAUACCUCAGAGGUAGCGCCAUCCUUGAGGGCGCAAAUUCAUUUCUGGCUAAAGUCAACUCAGAGCCACUUCAUUUAACCAGCACUCUCUGAACAGCACUGCCACAGACCACACUUUUCAGUCACAACAUAGAUCCUAAGUGAGACAUACACUGUAAUGCAUAUUUCACUUGGAUGGUGUCGCCCAGGAUGCCAAAGACUGGCUACAGAACAAGAGACAGCUUUCUACCACUAUUUCUGUCUCCCCGACCCAAGCUGUUUCUUCUGGUACUAAGUUGGGGGUACUGGAACAUAGUAUGAGUCGAUAUGAACUCUCAAAAUUGAGAGGGAAAAGUGUUUCUAUCUAUCUGGAAGUCAGGAAUGGGUGACCCACCGGCCCAGGCUCUGAGAGGGGAAAAGUGUUUCUAUCUGGAAGUCAGGAAUGGGUGACCCACCGGCCCAGGCUCUGAGAGGGGAAAAGUGUUUCUAUCUGGAAGUCAGGAAUGGGUGACCCACCGGCCCA